AAAGCAUAAAAGCGAUUGACCCUAUACUGAGUUUCAGUUUAGAAGAAAGAAUGUCAUCUCCACAGCUUAGGGAGGGAAACUUCGUAUUUAGUCAAAUCCAAAACGUUAUGGAUCAUGACUUAGAAAAUAAUGUGUUACUGGGGGAAGAAGGAAAAAAAAGGGCUAGAAGAGAGAUUGAAGAGACUAGCACUAUGGCAAACAGAAUUAGGAGGAUACCUGAAAUCAACCAUUUAUCAUCGGCGGCUGCCAAAAGGCAUGUCGAUCGGAUGCAAUGAAAAUAUUGAACUGGAAUGUCCAUAGACUGGGGAAUUCACAGACAGUUCGAAUACUUCGGCAUACGCUGAGGUUACAAAGUCCCUAAAUGGUCUUCUUUAUGGAGACAAAAUUAAAUAGUAGUUAGAUGGAGAAAGUUCGACGUAUUUGUGGUUUUCAUUAUGGAGUGGAAGUGGAUGCGGUUGGUUCCAGAGGAGGAUUAUGUUUAGCAUGGCGUGGGCCGGUUGAUAUAACGUUGUAAAGUUAUUCAAUUUGACAUAUUGAUGUGUUAAUUGAAGAUACAGAUGAUGGGAAAAAAUGGAUAUUUACAGGGUUCUAUGGUUCUCCUUAUUCACAUGAUAGGGAUAAAUCCUAGCAUCUUUUGAUACGUUUAUGGAAAAAUGGUGAUUAUCCUUGGCUAGUUUGUGGGGACUUUAAUGAGAUUCUAUAUGGGUUUUAAAAGAAAGGUGGAUUACCUAGAGAUGAAAGAAAGAUGGAAGCUUUCCGAAAAGUGUUAGAAGACUGUAACUUGAUUGAUGUAGGCUACUCAAGAAGAUG
rnacentral:lncRNA from 1 species